rnacentral:rRNA from 1 species
AGUGGACGCUGGCGGUAGGCCUAACACAUGCGAGUCGAACGGCAGCACAGUAAGAGCUUGCUCUUACGGGUGGCGAGUGGCGGACGGGUGAGGAAUACAUCGGAAUCUACUUUUCGUGGGGGAUAACGUAGGGAAACUUACGCUAAUACCGCAUACGACCUACGGGUGAAAGGCGGGGAUCUUCGGACCUUGCGCGAUUGAAUGAGCCGAUGUCGGAUUAGCUAGUUGGCGGGGUAAAGGCCCACCAAGGCGACGAUCCGUAGCUGGUCUGAGAGGAUGAUCAGCCACACUGGAACUGAGACACGGUCCAGACUCCUACGGGAGGCAGCAGUGGGGAAUAUUGGACAAUGGGCGCAAGCCUGAUCCAGCCAUACCGCGUGGGUGAAGAAGGCCUUCGGGUUGUAAAGCCCUUUUGUUGGGAAAGAAAAGCAGCAGGUUAAUACCCCGCUGUUCUGACGGUACCCAAAGAAUAAGCACCGGCUAACUUCGUG